GUGAAUCAUCGAAUUUUUGAACGCAAAUUGCGCCUUUUUCGGAAGGCAUGUCUGUUUGAGGGCACCAUUUAACAAAUAAUGUGCAUUUCGUUUGCACACGUUGAUGAGCUUUCCAAAAUUCUGUAUUAUUAUUUUUGGUUGCGCAUAAUUAAACAGCGCGCUGCUUUUUUUCAGUUCGAGUGUAGUAAAAUUUCUUCUUUCUUGUGUUGUGCAAAGCGUGCUCGCGCCACUUUGUGUGUCGACUCUACUACCCCUGCCCCCACGCCCCUCUUUCUCGCGAAAGCAUCUUAAUCUUCC
rnacentral:misc_RNA from 1 species